UAGUCCACGCCGUAAACGAUGGUCACUAGCUGUUUGGACUUCGGUCUGAGUGGCUAAGCGAAAGUGAUAAGUGACCCACCUGGGGAGUACGUUCGCAAGAAUGAAACUCAAAGGAAUUGACGGGGGCCCGCACAAGCGGUGGAGCAUGUGGUUUAAUUCGAUGAUACGCGAGGAACCUUACCAGGGCUUAAAUGUUAGGUGACAGAUCUAGAAAUAGAUUUUUCUCGGACACUUAACAAGGUGCUGCAUGGUUGUCGUCAGCUCGUGCCGUGAGGUGUCAGGUUAAGUCCUGCAACGAGCGCAACCCCUAUUCUUAGUUGCCAGCGGUUCGGCCGGGGACUCUAAGAGACUGCCAGCGCAAGCUGAGAGGAAGGUGGGGAUGGACGUCAAAUCAUCACGGGCCCUUACGUCCUGGGGCUACACACGUGCUACAAUGGUAGAGACAGAGGGGCA
rnacentral:rRNA from 1 species